CCUACGGGAGGCAGCAGUGAGGAAUAUUGGUCAAUGGACGAGAGUCUGAACCAGCCAAGUAGCGUGAAGGAUGACUGCCCUAUGGGUUGUAAACUUCGUUUAUAUGGGAAUAAAAUGUUCCACGUGUGGGAUUUUGUAUGUACCAUAUGAAUAAGGAUCGGCUAACUCCGUGCCAGCAGCCGCGGUAAUACGGAGGAUCCGAGCGUUAUCCGGAUUUAUUGGGUUUAAAGGGAGCGUAGGUGGAUUGUUAAGUCAGUUGUGAAAGUUUGCGGCUCAACCGUAAAAUUGCAGUUGAAACUGGCAGUCUUGAGUGCAGUAGAGGUGGGCGGAAUUCGUGGUGUAGCGGUGAAAUGCUUAGAUAUCACGAAGAACUCCGAUUGCGAAGGCAGUUCACUGGACUGCAACUGACACUGAGGCUCGAAAGUGUGGGUAUCAAACAGGAUUAGAUACCCCAGUAGUC
rnacentral:rRNA from 1 species